rnacentral:misc_RNA from 1 species
GAACGCACAUUGCGCCCGCUAGUAUUCUGGCGGGCAUGCCUGUUCGAGCGUCAUUUCAACCAUCAAGCUCCCGGCUUGCAUUGGAGCCCUGCGGCUGCCGCAGGCUCCCAAAUCCAGUGGCGGGCUCGUCGUCGUACCGAGUGCAGUAAACAUCCUCGCUCAGGGAACGCGGCGGGUUCUUGCCGUAAAACCCCCCCCACAUCAAGGUUGACCUCGGAUCAGGUAGGAAUACCCGCUGAACUUAAG